UCGAUGAAGAACGCAGCGAAAUGCGAUAAGUAAUGUGAAUUGCAGAAUUCAGUGAAUCAUCGAAUCUUUGAACGCACCUUGCGCUCUUUGGUAUUCCGAAGAGCAUGCCUGUUUGAGUGUCAAUU
rnacentral:rRNA from 1 species